AAGUCGUAACAAGGUCUCCGUAGGGUGAGUUUUGAACGACUUCUAACUAAUAUUGAAUGAAUGCUAACAGAUUUCCAGUGAACCUGCGGAGGGAUCAUUACUGAGUGAGGUCUCUGACCCGACCUCCAACCCUUUGUGAUUUAAACCUCUGUUGCCUCGGGGCGACCCGGACCCGCGUCUAGGGCCCCGACGGACCAUUUCAAAACACUGCAUCUUUGCGUCGGAUUGAAUAAAGUAAAUGAUUAAAACUUUCAACAACGGAUCUCUUGGUUCUGGCAUCGAUGAAGAACGCAGCGAAAUGCGAUAAGUAAUGUGAAUUGCAGAAUUCAGUGAAUCAUCGAGUUUUUGAACGCACACUGCGCCCCUUGGUAUUCCGGGGGCAUGCCCGUUCGAGCGUCAUUUCACCAAUCAAGCCUGGCUUGGCAUUGGGCACCGGGGCGACCCGGGCCUCAAAGUUCGCCGGCUGGAAAGCCCUGAUCUAAGCGUCGUGGUAAUCAAUUCGCUAAGAGAGAGGGCGGUCCACGCCGUGAAAUCUUAUUCAAGGUUGACCUCGGAUCGGGUAGGAAUACCCGCUGAACUUAA
rnacentral:rRNA from 1 species